rnacentral:rRNA from 1 species
CUAGAAUGAUAGGGUAAACUGGAAAAGAUUUUUUUAAGGUAAAAAAUGAAGUUGACUUUUUAGUAAGAAGGCUAAAAUGGCUCUUAAAGACAAGAAGACCCUAUAAAACUUUAUAUUUACUAUUUUAGGAAAGAAAAUAAAUAUUUUGCUGGGGCGGUAGGAAAAAUAACUUUUCUUAAUUUUAAAGACUUAAUAAGUCUUAAUACCUAAAAUUUUUAAAAGAAGAACAAGUUACUUUAGGGAUAACAGCUUAAUUCACUUUAAAAGUUCUAAUUGACAAGUGAGUUUAUGACCUCGAUGUUGAAUUAAAAGUCCUCUUUGGCGCAAAAG